GGGCACGUAGUUCAGCGGUAGAACGCUUCACUGAUAAUGAAGAAGUGGAAGGUUCGACUCCUUCCGUGCCCACCC
rnacentral:tRNA from 3 species